rnacentral:rRNA from 1 species
GGCGGCGUGCCUAAUACAUGCAAGUCGAGCGAUGAGGCCUUACGGGGCACCUUCGGGUGCUUGUCGGAGGUACAUCGGCGGCGAACGGGUGAGUAACACGUAGGCGACCUGCCCCGAAGACAGGGAUAACCACUGGAAACGGUGGCUAAUACCCGAUGUGCUCGGCGAUUCGGUUCGUCGAGUAAAGCUCCGGCGCUUCGGGAGGGGCCUGCGGCUUAUCAGCUAGUUGGUAGGGUAAUGGCCUACCAAGGCGAAGACGAGUAGGGGCGUGAGAGCGCGAUCCCCCACACUGGCACUGAGAUACGGGCCAGACUCCUACGGGAGGCAGCAGUCGGGGAUAUUGCACAAUCGGCGAAAGCCGGAUGCAGCGACGCCGCGUGGGCGAUGAAGGCCUUCGGGUUGUAAGCCCUUUUCUGGGGGAAGAGACAAGGACGGUACCCCAGGAAUAAGUCCCGGCUAACUACGUGCCAGCAGCCGCGGUAAAACGUAGGGGACAAGCGUUAUCCGGAUUUACUGGGCGUAAAGAGCGUUGAGGCGGUUUCGUAAGUUGGGCGUGAAAGCCCCGGGCUUAACUCGGGGAUGUCGUUCAAUACUGCGAAACUUGAGGGCAGCAGAGGGAGGUGGAAUUCCCGGAGUAGCGGUGAAAUGCGUAGAUAUCGGGAGGAACACCAGUGGCGAAGGCGGCCUCCUGGGCUGCUCCUGACGCUGAAGGCGAAAGCUAGGGGAGCAAACGGGAUUAGAAACCCCGGUAGUCCUAGCCGUAAACGAUGGGUGCUAGGUGUGGGGUAUAGACUCCCUCCGUGCCGAAGCUAACGCGUUAAGCAUCCCGCCUGGGGACUACGGCCGCAAGGCUAAAACUCAAACGAAUUGACGGGGGCCCGCACAAGCAGCGGAGCGUGUGGUUUAAUUCGAUGAUACACGAAGAACCUUACCUGGGCUUGACAUGCUGGUAGUAGUGAAGCGAAAGCGGAACGACCCUUCGGGGAGCCUGCACAGGUGCUGCAUGGCUGUCGUCAGCUCGUGCCGUGAGGUGUCGGGUUAAGUCCCGUAACGAGCGCAACCCUCGCCCUUAGUUAUAUGUGUCUAAGGGAACUGCCCGGGACAACUGGGAGGAAGGUGGGGAUGACGUCAAGUCAGCAUGGCCCUUAUGUCCAGGGCUACAUACACGCUACAAUGGCCGGUACAAUGGGUUGCCAAGCCGUGAGGCGGAGCCAAUCCUCCAAAGUCGGUCUCAGUUCGAAUUGUAGGCUGCAACUCGCCUACAUGAAGCUGGAGUUGCUAGUAACCGCGCGUCAGCUAUAGCGCGGUGAAUACGUUCCCGGGCCUUGUACACACCGCCCGUCACGUCAUGGAAGCUGGCAAUACCCGAAGCCGGUGGGCCAACCCGCAAGGGGGGCAGCCGUCGAAGGUAGGGCUGGUGACUGGGACGAAGUCGUAACAAGGUA